CGGCAACAGCUCAAAUUUGAAAUCUGGCCCCCGGGCCCGAAUUGUAAUUUGUAGAGGAUGCUUUUGGUGAGGCACCGUUCUAAGUCUCUUGGAACAGGGCGUCAUAGAGGGUGAGAAUCCCGUACGUGACCGGUGACCGAUCCUCUGUAAAGCUCCUUCGAC
rnacentral:rRNA from 1 species